rnacentral:rRNA from 1 species
UGAGAUUGCAUGGACGGGUGAGCGUCGUAGGAAUCUACCUGGUAGUGGGGGACAACAUGGUGAAAACCAUGCUAAUACUAUGCAUACGCCCUACGGGGGAAAGCGGGGGACCUUCGGGCCUCGUGCUAUCGGAAAGCCUGCGUUGGAUUAGCUUGUUGGUGAGGUAACAGUUCUCACCAAGGCGACGAUCCACAGCUGGUCUGAGAGGAUGAUCAGCCACACUGGAACUGAGACACGGUCCAGACUCCUACGGGAGUUGCAGUGGGGAAUAUUGCGCAAUGGGCGAAAGCCUGACGCAGCCAUGCCGAAUGUGUGAAGAAGGCCUUAGGGUUGUAAAGCACUUUCAAUUGGGAAGAAAGGUUGUACGUUAAUAGCGUGCCCCUGUGACAUUACCUUUAGAAGAAGCACCGGCUAACUCCGUGCCAGCAGAUUCGCGGUAAUAAGGAGGGUGCGAGCGUUAAUCGGAAUAUACUGGGCGUAAAGCGCGCGUAGGCGGUGAGUUAAGUCGGAUGUGAAAGCCCUGGGCUCAACCUGGGAACUGCACUCGAUACUGGCUGACUAGAGUUAAGAGAGAGGGAGGUAGAAUUCCACGUGUAGCGGUGAAAUGCGUAGAUAUGUGGAGGAAUACCUUAUCGCGAAGGCGGCCUCCUGGCUCGAUACUGACGCUGAGGUUGAAAGCGUGGGGAGCAAACAGGAUUAGAUACCCUGGUAACAGUGCCGUAAACGAUGUCUACUAGCCGUUACUUGAUUUCUUAGUGGCGCAGCUAACGCACUAAGUAGACCGCCUGGGGAGUACGGCCGCAAGGUUAAAACUCAAAUGAAUUCAGUGGGGGCCCGCACAAGCGGUGGAGCAUGUGGUUUAAUUCGAUGCAACGCGAAGAACCUUACCAGGUCUUGACAUCCAGAGAACUUUCCAGAGAUGGAUUGGUGCCUUAUGAGCUCUGUGACAGGUGCUGCAUGGCUGUCGUCAGCUCGUGUCGCGAGAUGUUGGGUUAAGUCCCGUAAAUAGCGCAACCCUUGUCCUUAGUUGCUAGCAGGUAAUGCUGAGAACUCUAGGGAGACUGCAGGUGACAAACCGGAGGAAGGUGGGGACGACGUCAAGUCAUCAUGGCCCUUAAUAUCGGGCUACACACUAUACAAUGGAACGCACAGAGGGCAGCAAACCCGCGAGGGGGAGCGAAUCCCACAAAACGUUUCGUAGUCCGGAUCGGAGUCUGCAACUCGACUCCGUGAAGUCGGAAUCGCUAGUAAUCGUGAAUCAGAAUGUCACGGUGAAUACGUUCCCGGGCCUUGUACACACCGCCCGUCACACCAUGGGAGUGGGUUGCUCCAGAAGUGGUUCAGAUUA